ensembl:ncRNA T14B1.4 ncRNA
CACACUCCAAAUGACGCCAAUUGUUUCGUAUUGUAUUGUUCGGUUGGUGUGAAUGGCCGGUUGAAAAACGAGAGCAAAAGAAGGCAUGAAACUUUUAUUGGUUUGCUCUCAAAAAUAGAGAUGAGCUU